UGGUCGAUGCUCACAUCAUGACCCCAGGUCAGGUAUAUCAAUAAGCAAAGGAAAAAAAACUUAUCAAGAUUCCCCUAGUAAUGGCAAGGGAAUUGAAAAGGGACCAACUUGAGAAUCGGGUGCCCUCAACAUUCGAAUUGUAACUUGGAAAAGUGUUGUCAGUGGUAGACCAAGCCUAAGUCACCUGAAAAUAAGCACUGGAGUGGGUGAGAGUCUUGUUAUGCCUAGACCUUGUCACACCAUGAGGCACUAUUUAUGAGUCGGGUUAUUUAGGAAUGAAGCCCCAAUUGAGCAGUAAAUUCCAUCCAAGGCUAAAUAUCGAUGAAAGACUGAUAGCAAACAAAUAUCACUAGGGAAAGAUAAAAAGGACUUUGAAAAAAAAAGUUAAAAAGUUCUUAAAAUUAUCAAGAGGAAAGCGGAUGGGGGUUGGCAAUGUGCCCUAGAUGGAUGCAAAAUAAUGAGAGCUGAGGCAUGGACCGAUGUAGGUUGCGAUGGUAGCCCAAGCUCAAGCUUUUGAUAUGCCCAUAGAGAUGUCAUUAUUGUAAUCAUGGAAUGCAGCACAUGCUAUCUCCAUGUUCCUUGGCACCUGUGUGCUCCCAGCAUCGACCUGUGAGCUUCCUAUCUAGCCUAUCUUGAAAUAUAGACUAAGGAGUUUGACAUUUGUGCAAGUUAAUAGGCUAGGAAAACCUGUAAGGCAUAAGGAAGCUAAUUGGUGGGAUCCCUCAUGGGUGCACCACCAACUAACUUUGAUCUUAUGAGAAGGGUUCUAGUGCGGGCAUGCAGACUCAAAAGAUGGUGAACUACACCUGAGUGGGGUGAAGCCAUAAAAAACUUUGGUGGAGGCCUGCAAUGAUACUAACAUGCAAAUCAUUAAUCUAACUGGGGUAUAGGGGUGAAAGACUAAUUGAAACAUCUAGUAACCGGUUCCCUUCAAAGUUUCCCUUAGGAUAGCUAGAGCCUUUAGCGAGUUCUAUCUAGUGAAGCCAAUGGUUAGAGGCAUGAAGGGUGUAACACCCUUGACCUAUUCCCAAAUUUUAAAUAGGUAGGAUGGCAUAGCUGUUUCAUUGAGCUAUGCCAUGAAAUCGAAAGCUCCAAGUAGGCCACUUUAGGUAAGCAAAACUGGCAAUACAGGAUAAACUAAAACCUAGUUAUAGUGCCCAACUGAGUAUUUACCUAAAACCUACAAAGGGUGUUGGUUGAUUAAAAUAGUAGGACGAUGGUCAUGGAAGUCAAAAUCAACUAAGGAAUGUGUAACAACUCACCUGUCGAAUCAACUAGCCUAAAAAAUGGAUGUCACUUAAGUGCAUCACUCAUGCCUAGCCAUCAAGGUUUCUUCGUGAUGAGUAGGAAGGAGUGGUAGUUGCCAUAAAACCCAAGGCACUAGCCCAGGCAAAGUGGUCAUCAAUGCAGAUCUGAGUGGCAGUAUCAAAUAUUCAAAUGAAAACUUUGAAGGCCAAAGAGGGGAAAGGUUCUAUGUGCAUAGCACUUGCACAUAGGUUAGUCGAUCCUAAGAGACGAGGGAUGCACAUCUAACAAUACGUCUAAUGCAAGCUUAAAAAAAGAAUCAAGUUAAAAUUCCUAAACUAUGAUGCAAUGGAUGACAACAACAUUAAAGAGUCUGAAGAUGUCAAUGAGAGCCUCGAAAAGAGUUAUCUUUUUUGAUUAAUGACCUCCCACCUUAGAAACUACUCAUUCAGAGGUAGGGUUCUAUGGCUAGAAGAGCAUUACACAUCACAUGGUGUUAGUUUUACCCCUGGCAGCCCUUGGAAAUCUAGAAGAUUGAGUGUUGUCUAUGCCCAGUUGUACUCAUAACUGCAUCAGGCUUCCAAGGUGAAUAGCCUCUGGUCAAUGGAAUAAUGUAGGCAAAAGAAGUUGACCAAAUAGAUUCAUAACCUCUGGAAAAUGAUUGGCUUUGAAGGUUGGCCAUAAGGGUUGUAGUCUCAAACCCAUCGACUAUCAAUGCAUUGCUCAAGCUGCUCUCAUGAUAAGAGUGGGUCAUCGCGUGCCAGUGGGGGGAUGAACUGGGAAUGGCUCCCUUGAGGGCCUUCCCCAGACAAUAAACAGUUGACUUAAAAUUGGUACGAACAAGGGGAAUCUGAUUGUUUAAUUAAAACAAAGCAUUGCAAUGGUCAUUGUAGAUGCUCAUGUAAUGUUAUUUUUACCCAAUGCUCUAAAUGUCAAAGUGAAGAAAUUCAACCAAGCACGGGUAAACAGUGAGAGUAACUAAGACUCUCUUAAGGUAGCCAAAUGCCUGGUCACCUAAUUAGUGGUGCACAUGAAUGGAUUAACGAGAUUCUCACUAUCCCUAUCUACUAUCUAGCAAAACCACAAUCAAGGGAAUAAGCUUGGUGAAAUCAAUGUGGAAAGAAGACCUUGUUGAGCUUAACUCUAGUCUGACUUUGUGAAAUGACUUGAGAGGUGUAGGAUAAGUGGGAGCCCUCGAGUGAAAUUGAAAUACCAUUACUUUUAACAUUGUUUUACUUAUUUUAUGGAUCAAAGGUGGGGCAUAACCCUUUUUUUUUGGACCCAAGGCUAGCCUCGAUCGAUUAAUCUAAGUGAAAGACAUUGUCAAGUGGAGAGUUUGGUUAGGGCGGCACAUUUGUUAAAAGAUAAUGUAAGUAUCUUAAGAUGAGCUCAAUGAGAAUAGAAUUUUCAUGUGGAAUAAAAUGGUAAAAGCUUAUUUGAUUUUGAUUUCCAAUACAAAUAUGAACCAUAAAAGUGUGGCCGAUCGAUCCUUUAGACCUUCAAAAUUUAAAGAUAGAGGUGUCAAAAAAGUUAGCAUAGAGAUAAUGGGUUUGUGGUAGCCAAGCAUUCAUAGUAACAUUGCUUUUUGAUCUUUUGAUGUCGACUAUUCUUAUCAUUGUGAAGUAGAAUACACCAAGUGUUGGAUUCUUCACCCACCAAUAAGGAAUGUGAACUGGGUUUAGACUGCCAUGAGACAAGUUACUUUUACCCUACUGAUGGCAGUGUUGCAAUAGUAAUUCAACCUAGUAUGAGAAGAACCAUUGAUUCACACAAUUGGUCAUCAUGUUUGGUUGUAAAGUUGGUGGCGUGAAGUUACUAUGCACUGAAUUAUGAUUGAAUGCAUUUAAGUCAAAAUCCAAGCCGAAACCGAUGCACACACCCAUCGCUCAAUUGUUGACCCCAUAGCAGGGGCCCAUGGCCCCCAAAGGCACAUGUUGUAGGGGUAGCCCUUAUGGUGGACAAGUCAUGCAAGCCUUUUAGGAGCUUAAUUUCCAUCAAGCAAUGGGUAAAAUCUUUUGCAA
rnacentral:rRNA from 1 species